rnacentral:rRNA from 1 species
UACGGAGGGUGCAAGCGUUAAGUCGGAAUUACUGGGCGUAAAGCGUGCGUAGACGGUUAUGUAAGUCGGGUGUGAAAGCCCCGGGCUCAACCUGGGAAUUGCAUUCGAGACUGCAUAGCUAGGGUGCGGAAGAGGGAAGCGGAAUUUCCGGUGUAGCGGUGAAAUGCGUAGAUAUCGGAAGGAACACCAGUGGCGAAAGCGGCUUCCUGGUCCAGCACCGACGUUCAGGCACGAAAGCGUGGGGAGCAAACAGG